AAUUUACCUAAUUAAAACCAUUUUAAUAACCAAUGAACAUAUUAAGUAUUAUUUGGUAAUUGAUAAAAGUAGACAAGAAGUUGGAUUUAGUUCUGUAACAUUUUUGUGAUUUUAUUUUUAUAGGUUGGAAGUGCGACAGGAAGAAAAGUUUCAUCUCUGAAAACACAGGUUUGCAAUAAUAUAUUUUAUCUUUAAAUCAUAAUUGAGGUAUAGGCAAUUAAGUAUUUAGUCUGUCCAAAAGCUCAGUUUCUAUAUCACUGUCACAAUUCAUAAACUAUUGACAUUUCUUGGUGUCUGUCAUCUCUGAACUUGUUGAAAAUUCUCAUUUGAAACCACAGAAAGUUACAGAUAAGGUAAAUGGUGGGGUCUAAAUUGAAAUUGUUUUAAUUUUUCAUCCUUUGCCAAAAUGUAGUUUAAAUUAUACUUUCUUUAAUAAUACAUGCAUAAGAAAGAUUUUGGGUAUCAGGGCUUUUUUCAAGCCAUUGAUUACUCAGAAUUGCCCGACUUUAUAUACAUCAUACAUGAAAAAAACCCAAAAACAUGAACAUUUUGUGUCAAAGGAAGAGAACAAGACGAUAGAAUUAAAAAAAAAAAAAAAAAACACUCUUAUAAUGUGAUUUCUGAAAAUAAGAUAAAAAAGGAGUUCACAGAACUCGUGUUCCUGCUACAAAACAAUACAGGUAAAUAUCUAACACAUACCUCCACAAAAGUUACAUGAUCUGAGUUAUCUCCCCUUAUGUGACAUUGUUGAAAAAAACUGAAUCAUUCAAAAAAUAUUCUGUAUUUGCUAAAACAGUUUAAAAUAAGAAAACACAUAUAAUUUUCUUAUUUAGAUGAAAGGUCUUAAGGAAUCAUCUACCCUCAAAAUUACAAGAAUUUCUAAAUAGACCAAUGGUAUUUUGCUAUAUAACAAUCCAAUACAGCAGAAGACACCCAAUCUACCUUAAUCCUGCCUGAGUUUUCCUUUAAAUGUAUAAUUUAUUAAAGAAGGAGGUGUGAUAAGAGCUAUAUUUUUUAUUGCUUCUAAAUUUUCAAAAGGGAAAGUUCCUUAAUCUUUUAAAAAAUCUUGGUGGUUCUAUAUAUAUAUAUUGAUUUUAUAAAUUGUUAGUUUUGUGUCACUGUGAACAUGUUGAAAUUGUCAGAAUUGACCAUAAAUAUCCAUUUUGCACAAAUUGAAAAAAACUAGUUCUACUGGCCCAUAGCCAUACCCAACAAAUAUAAGCAAAUAAAUAUUUUAGGUCAAUGGAAUUUGCCUGACAGCACUUAAAGUUACCCUUUGGAUCAAAAGGUUGUGUAUCGCUAUGCUACGAGAAUGUUUUCUAUAGAUUAUUCCAAAAGUAAACCAAAGACAUGCAUAGUAAGGGAAAUCUGUGUUAUUUUGGGACUUUUAUAGCCGAAUAUUUCCGUACAAUGCAUAUUGUUGCUUACAUCCACUUCAUUUGAACUAGUUGUCUCAUUGGCAAUUAUACCACAUCUCACCUUAGUGACCUCUCAGUAAUUUUGUAUCAGUAUUAAUUUGAUAUUAGAAGAAAAAAAUAGAAUUUAAAGGUUUUAUGCUAAUAAAUCUGCUAAAAGUAAAACUUUUGGAAGUUUGAAAUAUAGAAAAAAAGUCUGACACAAAUAUGAAAAGAAGGAUGUUAGAACUUAGAACCACGUCCUAUCAUUUAAGGAAGUUUGUUCACCUCUAAAUGUCUUGGGUUUUUUUGCCAUUGGGUUGUUUUCUUAUUGUAUCUCUUUUUUUAUUCAAAUGUACAUUCUAAUUAUAGAAGGUGUGGUUAAUAUGGUCUGUGUAACUGGAAAAUGAUGUCAAACUAUAUAUAAACCAGAACUAUAAUUAAAUUACAACUGAUUUAAUUGUUUGUACGAAAAAUUGGAAACAUUUUAAGAAAUGCAGAUUUAUUUUCAGCAUUCAGACUUUUGAAAUUGAAAUUGAAAUUCUGGUUAAUUUUGGCAUAAAAUUACAACUAAAAAGAUAGUGAUUUCAUUAAAUUAUGCUGACAAGUGAAAUCUUUAAUUGAUCUUAAAGCUAGAUUGAUUUAAAGUAUAUUUUUUUCUUAAGAAAUUCUACUUUUAAAAUUUGCACUCUAGAAUCACCUAGUCAACUGUAAAAACAGCUGAUUAAGGUAAACAUUGGAAUAAAGUCAAAAGAAAAAUCCCUAAUUCUAUAUUCAAACUGUAAAAAACAAAGAAAAUCCAAGUCAUACUUGAGCUUGAUCCAAAAAUUUUACGUAAAAAUGAUUACAUUCCUCAAAUUUAGAAAUAAGUUCCCCUAAUGCAAAGCUUCAAGAUUUUUUAUUACGAGAGGGGAAAAAAGACUAGGCCAAGAGAAAAAAUGGAAUAUAAUUGAAAAUUCCACAGACAAUUGGAUAAUUUGGCAAUUUGCAUUAUUUUAAGGGCAAUUUAAUAGCAUAUCAAUCAUUGUUUCAGAUCUUAAAUGUAUUUACUUUUUCAAAAUUUUAUAUUACUUAACUAAUUUCAAUAAAUUUAGAAAAUGAAAAGAAUACAAAUUCUAAUUUUGCUUAGCCUGCAGGACAAAUUCCUGUAGGUCUUCGUGAUGAAAUUCUUUAACCUAAUAUGAUAAAUCUUUAAAGUGGAUUAUCAGCUUAGACCAUAUUAAACAAAUUCUUUGGUCAAUCUUGAACAAAAGUCUCAGCCAAGUGUUGUGUAAACAAAUGAAUGUGGAUUAAAAAGAGGCACACGGUCAUUUCAACUUUUUAAUGUGCAGGGUUGGACUUUCGAUAAUCCAGAUUAAAAAGUGGACCACACGCAUGUCUUAAAAGGAUGCAUUCUUUUCUUUUAUUAUUAACUGGUGCAAAGUUUGAAUUUAUUAUUAGAUCUAUGCUGCAAUAAGAUAAACUAAAUCAUACAUGUAAGAAGGGUCAUAACCUGUGUCACAUGAUAUUUCAUUGGUUUCUUGUAAUUUCAUGCGACUUUUCGAGAAAUUUGUUCAGAAAAUGGUUUUCUUUUUUAGAGCAGUAACAGAUUUUGUGGAAUGAAUGAAGAAAAAGAACUCAGACUUUAACAGAGAUAUAGGUGUGUAAUAAAUGUAUUUAGAGACUUAUAAGUUACUAAGGUGCAAAUCAUUUUAUAAAUAUUUAAACAGAACUUUGUUUUUAGUUACGGUAGGAGUGCAAUUUCAAAGCAGAGCAUGCAUACCUAUAUCUAUAAUUGGAAAAAAAAGAAGAAAAAGAAAAUCCAUUAAUUGAGUAUUUACAAAAUAAACUGCAAGUAUUUUUUUCAUAUUUUCAAUUUUAAAAAUUCUUUUAUACAGAGUCAAAGAUAUAUUUAAUGGUUUGUGCCUUAGUAUGUUUCUUUUACAUGAAUUUAAGUGAUAAUACGAAGUCCUAAUUAUUAUAACCCCAACUUACUGAUCCCUUUGCAUAUAGUUUCCUGGACAACAUUCUUAACUAAAGCCUUGGGUUUUGUCAAAAACAAAGUUGUUGGGUUUGGAAAUCUUAUUUGUCACUCAGUAAAUGAAUCAUAACCCAACUUUUAGAAAGUUUAGUAUUUCAAUUUUGAGAAUCCCUUCUAUUUUAUUUUUUUAUGAUGGUGAUUAAUUAAGGUUUCCUUUGCCCAAGAUUGGUUAUUCAUUUGCCUUGAUAUUGAGUUAAAAUAGGGAUAAGAAUUUGUCAAACCUUAACACUCUUCCACUGUUCUUUUUUUUAAUAACAAAGAAUUUUCUACUUGACAAUUUCGCAAAAGAAAGUAAAGAGAGAUUACUUACGGAAUUUCUAAAUUUGACAAUUAAAAUUAUGUUUUUUAAAUUUGUUUAAUUUGUUUACAAUAGCUAAGAAACUACUUAUCAGCAAUAUUAAGUCUGCUGAGUCAGCCAAAUAUUAUAAGAGUCCUGGUUUAUCAGUAAUAAUGGCUUAAUGCAAAGAUUCUUUAAAAUUAUGCAAAAAUAAUUCUAUUUGUUUGAGGGAUAAGGCCUAAAGGGAAUUGAUCAGGACCAAAGAACUUAAACCAUUAUUCAAACAUGAUUUGGUCGAAAUAUUUGUGUAACAAACAAUCAGACUUGCCGUUAUAAGCAAUGGGUAAGGGUAUUAGCUACAUAAUUGUAUAUAUUGCUUAAUAAGCAAAUAUUUUAUGGUUUUUAAAAAUGAUAGCCGCAUAAUUUUUAUUGAAAUACCUGCCCAAUGAACAAAGAACGGAAUUUGAGUUCAUUAUAUCUUCAUUUACAUUUUGGUUAUAGUUAGAACUAUAAAUUGACCCAGUUUAAAAGGUCAGUGGUAUGGAAAAGGGCACAUCAAUCCCAUCCCAUUAUCUAUGGCUCUUUAAAACAAUUCAUCACACGUUGGCUUUGUAAAGGCUUGGUAUUUAAGGACACAAUUGAAAAAUUCUUUUAUAAUUCAGGCACUAAUUUACAUUGUUGUGUCUUCAUGGUGAUGAAACAUACUUAAAAUUCUGUGCUAUUUAGAAACCUUUUAAUAAGACGUCACUGUGAUUACCCCUUCAAAACUAUGCUAAUCACAGGAAAAGAUAUUUCGUUCGUUGUCCGUUUACCAACUCUACCUGUGUAAGUACAUGUAAAACUUUUUUUACUGUGAGAUUGUCAUAAACUUGACAUAUUCAUAUGAUUUGUUGUCAUUUAUUUAGGUCAUGUCAACUCCUUCAAAGAAAGUAAAAAGUCUUAUUGCAUAUUUAUAAAGCUUUUUAUAAUGGAAGCAAAAACAUUUUAUAUUUGCAUAAAGUAUAAUUUAACUUUCUAGUAAUGCUGUAUUUUCUUUUUCAGUUAUUUUUUGUUAUACAAUUCAAUUUUUCAUUUCAAUCUUUUUAUGGACUUUUGCUAAAAUAUGCUUAGGAAAUAAUAUCUAUAGGGGGGUCGAUCUAUAGUUAGUAAUUAAGGUGGCUGUUUGGAAAUACAUUUAAAAUUUUAAGUUGUUUGAAAAUGAAAUCUUAGUUUGUAUCAUAUUAAAAAGUUUACUUUCUAAACAGCAACAGGUUAAGAAGAAGAAAUAUAAUCUAUGUGUUGUAAUUUAUGAUCUUUACUCAAAAAUACAAUGCAACUUUAAAAUGGUGUCGGCAUACACAUGUUGCAACAAAGGACAUGUACCAUUCAUACAAUUUUAAGAUUACAAACAGUGUCACUUCUCCAAUUCUAAAGGAAUUUUGUUAAGGAAUUUUGUAACUUAAAUCUUGUAUAGAAUUUAGCCUAAUUUAUAAGUUGCAAUGUACCUAUCAUGUUAGUGAUACUCAGUACAAGCACAGACAUCACUUACAGUUAAAAUACACUAAUCCCAUUAAGUCUUUUCAAAUUCUUAAGAAUUUUAUAUGUAGGGAGUACUAUUUCAUUUUCAGAAGUCGUUAAAAACCUAAAUAUUUUAUUAUCCCUGAAAAUAAAUAAAAAACAAUGCAGUGAGGUCAAUCAAAAACAUUAUACGACUGCAAAUUUACAUAUCUUUAUUUAUAUCUACCCAUUCCAUCCCUUGCUUUUGAAAUGAAUUUAUAAAAUUUUCUUGAAAUCUAAUUAAAAAAUUGCAGAGACAUAUUUUAUUAUGUUAGAUCUCUUGGUGACCAUUUGUAGCUCCUCUGUCUUUUCCCCUUAUUUCUUCAGUCUCUGUGAGGAGAAUAAUAAGUAAAUGUCAGUAAAAAAACUACACACAAACAUGAAUAUCAGAAAUGGAUAUUAAUAGCACUUUAAACUUUGUCUGACCUGAUUACUGCACAUAUGCACCCAGUGAGGUGAUGCUGCACAAUUUUGUAUGCUAAGGUGCAAAAGAUAUGUCAAGUAUGUAGCCCUGCAACAACAAUUAUUUUCAUUCACUGAAUUCUUUUUGGGUGUGUCUGUCUACAUUUCAACAAAAUCUUUGAAAUAUAAUUAAUAUUUGUUGCUUUUAUUUAUAAUGGUAUAAUUAUGGCUAAAUAAAUGUUUAGCUUUAUAAUUCCAUACUAAAACUUCAGCUAGUUUUAUGCAUCUAUUAGGUUCAACUGUUUUUGCUUCAGUAUCAUUUAUUUUAAAAGACGUCUCUUCCUAUUGAAUACAAAAAUGAAUUAACUAAUGUGUUCCCCAAGCCCCAUGUGAAAAUGUGCAAAAGUGAAAUGUAUAUUGAUUUGUGAGAUUUAAAGUUGAAUGAAGUUUAAGAUAGAACUUUUCAUGUAAGAAAUUCUCAAAGGUUCUGGCAAUAGAAAGUGUAGUUGAACAUUUUUUGAUAGCAUCAUGUGUAUGCAACAUUUCCAGAAAUCAUUAUAAUUAGUGUCUCACUUUAGUUCAUUGUGUCAAUAGUUCAGCCAUGGCAAUCAUAAAUGUACAAAAAGAUUUCAGAAUUUACAGUACAUGCAUAGUAUUAAAGAUGCUUGUGUUCUUACUUUGGCAGUGUAAAAUUUUAGUUCUAUUUUAUAUGAUUUCUAAAAACUUUAUUCAAUUCAUUCAUAACUGAAUAGUAAAUCCUUUUUUUUUGCUACCUGAUGUUAGCUUAUAAAAUAUCUAUGCAAAGUAAAAAAAAUUAUAACAGUUAAAAAUACUCUAUUUGCACUUAAUUUUUGAAGUCUCAACUUUUCUCAAAUUCAUUGAUUAUAUUCUGUUGACUGAAAAACGGAAAUCAGUGAAUAGAAUAUUUAGAGCUUAAAGUUAAUCUUUGACCUUUAAUGGAUUUUUUUUGGUAAACCACAAGAACCUGACAAUAAGUGUUUUUUGUCGGCAGAGUUUGGAGGGAUCCUAUUGAUGAGCAAGGAAGCGAGUUAAAUCUGACUUACAAUCUUACCUACAAUCUCUCACGAUUAUUAAGUAGAUAAACGCUGUCAUGUGAUUAAAUUUUUGAAACAUGAAUGAAAAAAUAUAAUAUAUUUUCAAAUUUUAUGAAUGGAAAUGAAACUUAUUUACAUAAAUUUUCAUUCAUAAGUUUCAAAGUUUAUUGACAUCGAUUCAGUUAAUUGCCGACUUAUUUUCCUAAAAAAAGAAAGUAAACUUUGUUUGGAAAUACAAAAAGCUUGUAUAAUCUAGUCAAAUAUGUUAUAAUUAUUCAAAUACAAUUCAAACUUUUUUCAAUAUAUUUUUUUUUAGCGGUUUAAAUGUAGUUUUAUUUGAGAGAAAACAAAGAAGUAUAUGUAGUACUUUGUAUUUUAGAAGAAAAGUAGUUCAGGUUUAAUUUAUACAAAAUAGAUGUAAUAAAUUUACAUAUAACAAACAAAAAACAUUUUUCCUGUCUUCAACAAAAAGUAGAGUAAUUAAUAUUCAGAAUAAUACAUAUAUCACAAACUUCUUUCUUAUUUUAAAUCAUAUUCUAUUAUAACAUUUCUUUUUUUUGUACACCUAAAGGUAUUUUUUUAAGUUUUGCCAGCCAUGAAAUAAAAUUUAAAUCUCGUCUGCUAUUAAGCUGUUUUAAAAUUUAAAUAUAUUUUCUAAACUCAUUCAUCUUCUCUUGUUGAUAAAAUUGAGUUGAUGUUUUGUAUAAAAGGAAUGUAAAGUAUUUGUGUCAGUGGAACAUGACAUGAGAACAGGUAAAUGUAGGAGUUUAGACGGGAAUAUCCAGGGAAAGUUACUUGGUUCUUAAAGCGAGCACGGUACAGGUAAUACAAAUGCAGGUAUUUAAAUUAUUUUCUUUUUUUCUAAAUAUAUUACAUUUUCCAAAAAAUAAUUGUUCCUAAGAAUUUAUUUUGAAUAAUUUGAAAAUAUCAAAAAUGAAAAAAAUGUACUUGCAUGGUGUGAAAUAAAUGUUUCCCCCCAUUUUUUGCAUAAAUUGUAAUAUGAGGAGUUAUUUCCCCUAAUGGGAAAUUUAUACUGUAUGCAUUUAGCUGUUGCUAAAUUCUUUUUUGCAUUAUUUAGUUAUUGAAUUUUGCAUCUUAAAGUCAUCCAUUCUUGACAAAUAUAUUUAUGUUUUAUAAUUGAUUUUAGUAUAAAAUUUAUGAAUAGCACUGAAAAUUUCAAUUUAUGAAAAAAUAAUGUUGCAAUUAAAAUAGUUUUUAUCUCUAUUUUAAUGUAACACUAAAUUAAGGAAAAAUUGAAAAAAAAAUUUAAGAUUAAUAAUGUGUGAAAGACAUGUAUUUAAGAGAGGUGUUACUUAUAAAUAAUAAUGCAUUGGAUGUUUUUAUUAUAUAAUAUGCAGAUCAACAGUAUUCAAUUGUAAAAAAUGUGAAUAUGAGAUUGCAAUAGGUAUAUAUAUUCUGUUUAGAAACCAAGUACUGUAUAUGUUAAGGUCUGAACGAGGUCUAUAUAUAUCUAUGUGUGUGUGAGAAAAAGAAAAAGUGUGAUUUGAUAUGUGAAGAUCAAAAGUAGGUGACAAGUGGGUGUAAACUGACCUGUUCCCAACAUGUUUAUUCUGGGAGUAUAAAACAUCUAAUGAUUCAUUACCUACAUGACAAGUAAAAGGCAACAUCUAUCAACUCAAUGUGAAAGGACAUAUUUCUCAGGUUUCUAGGUAAAAAUAUACACCUUGGGAAUAUAUGAAUAAUCUUAAUGAAAGGCAAAUAUAAAAUUCAGAAAUUAUAUUAAUGGGUGAGUGGUAUGGAAAUUCUAAAUUAGGAUUUUAAUAUAAAUACCUACCAUUUAUUUGACUGAUAUAAGUCCCAGUGGAUUUCUUUAGUUGGUCUCCUUGACUGAUAUAAGUCCCAGUGGAUUUCUUUAGUUGGUCUCCUUGACUGAUAUAAGUCCCAGUGGAUUUCUUUAGUUGGUCUCCUUGACUGAUUUAAGAAGAAAGACAUUUUUUUCUGAAUAUACCAUGUGACAACAAUCUUAUUCAAAAUCUGAAAUCUUUAAAUUUCUGUAUAUUUAAGCCGAACUGAAAUAUGGAAUUUUACCAGUUAUGUAUUAGAUUUGAUAAAGAGUUACUAGUAAACUGCUCACAAAGUCUCUUUUAAUCUAGAUAUAUAUUUGAUGUUUACCAUUCUGAAAUCAAAAGAAAUGGCCCCCAUUGAAUGAACAAGAAUUGGAUUAUUGAAUUAAUUCAUUCAUAAAACUAUCACAAGUCUAUAACACUACUGGUGGACUAUUAGUCACCAUGGUUACCAUACACACAAUAGCCAAUGUUUUGGUAUGGUUUAAUUUUGUUAGACUAUAAUAUAAGGUGUAGAAAUAGUAGAGUAGCAUCUUCCAAUGUGACCUUCAUUCUUUUUUUGGCUGUUUUAUUUAGUAAGAUUGAUAAUUGAUGUUCACAAAUAUUUUAUAUAUUUUACUUCCAAAAAUUUUGGUUUUAAGAAUAACUGGCGGAAGAUAUUCAAAGUUAUGGAUCUUAGUUUUUCAAAAGCAAGCAAGGGGCCUCUGGUUCAACUCCUGAUGUUCCAGCAGCAUUUGGCUAACAGUGUAUCAUUAAUUGAUUUACUGAAAAGCUAAAUUCAAAAUGAUUACCAGAAGUAGAAAACAGUGGAAAUACUGUGAUGCAAAAAGUUAUGUUUAAGAAUGCUUGUUUUAGAACCAUUCUUAGUCUAUAAUUUAAUAUGUUUGAACUUUUAACUUCUGUUCAAGAUUUUUAUACAACACAGGAUAUAGUUCAUUAUAGACAAAUUACAAUGUAUAUAUAAGUAAUAUAGGUCAGACUUUAUGUCACUUUUUUGAAGAGAAAUUACCACAGAACAACCUGUUAAAAUAGUUUUGGUUUCAGAUGGAAAUCUAAUUUAACCAGAUCAAUGAAGCUGUACUUAUACACAUAAACUUAAUGUUCCUAACAAUAAUUAUUAUUUAUUUGAGGCGUUUAGCUAAGAAUGCAGAUUAUGCUAUGUUUUUUUCCAACAUGAGUUUUUAUUAAGGAUAAUUGUAGUGUUUGAUGAGUUUUGUUCCCACAUGUAUUGAAUGGCUCGUAGACAGCCCUACUUCCGGCUUCUGUGCAGUAAUGAGGCAUUACCCUAACAUCUAUUACUGAUAAAAGAUAUUUUUUGUUCAAUAACUAAUGCAGAUUUUUGUUUAAGAACAGAUAUAUGUAUUUCAGGUACAAACCACUGUGCAAUGAAUUUACAGACAGGCGUUGGCUAAAGAUAUCAAAAAGGUAUUCAUUAGUUAUAAGGAAAAAAAUCUUCAAAGAUAAUUUUUUCUAUUGUCUUUAGAAACUUUUCAGAGCCUGAUAUUUACACAUUGUUGAAUUUUGUACAUUAGUAAAGUUUUUCUUUAUAAACUUGGAUAUAUUUCAAACACUUUGGAAUCUAUCAGCAAUAAGUUUUUUUUGAUACAGAAUAAUGGCAACAUGUAGAAUCUUAUAAUUUAUAUGCAUUACAUCUGUUGAUCUAUUAAUUCUAUUAAACAGAUCUUUUACUCAGUUGUAUGGCUUUUUUUGUGUAAUUUUAUUGUCAUCUUAUUUAUUUUUCGUUUUUUGCCCAUCUGAGCUAGAGUUCUCAUCGGAUGUUACAUAAAAAAAACGCUGAAUGACAGUAUUUCAACCACACAAUUUUUAGUUAAGAUUUGUCACAUUUAGUAUCAUAAUGUUUUUAAUCUAUUCAUUGAAAUAUGUGUGACAAGGUUUUGAUAAAAAGUUAUUUAUACUGGAAUUUUGCCAUUUCGUUGGUCAAUAAACUCAAUAUUAUUUAUGAUACCCUAUGAUGGUAUACUGAUAGUUGGGUGAUGGCCAGAAUAGGUUUCUCUCAACUGAUGUGUCCAAAAUCAGGGUCAAAAAUAUAACUUUGUUCAAGUUGGUACAUUUGAUAGUUGUUCAAGUACUUAUUUAUACAGUUGCUAAAAGGUAUAAUAAAUUAAAUCAUUAAUUAUCUUUUUACAGCUUAGUUGGCUAAUUUUGUGUCAUCUGUUUUUUGAAACAUUCAACUGAAAAUUAGGAGAUGACAAUUUUUCAUUGGAGAAUUUGCAGGCAUCAAUUGGUGAUCUGAUGGUUGCAGAUUUUGUUACAAUCCUCAAAUAAAAAAAAAAUGGUGCCCUCAAAUCUUUUAAUGCAUUACUGUUAUUUCAAUUCUAAUGCAAUCGUAAAAACACCACUUAAUCAUUAAUUUUGAAACCAGUCACACUGUGUCUUGACUUGUGCACAAUUCGAGCCCACACAUAGGCGGAUACAGGGGGCCCUGGGGGCCCAGGCCUCUUUUCAUGGGAAAAAUUUGGUUGAUUAUAUAGGGAAUCAUUGAAGCAUGACUGGAGCGGGCCCCCCGUAGGUCAGUCAGCGGGCGCCCUUGGAAAAGUUCUGGAUCCGCCACUGCCACAACUAUAAGGCAAAAUCUUUUGUUUAGUCUCCAUAUAGAUGAGCUACAGAUACUUUUAGCUGCUUGAAUAAAAAAGUUGUCCUUAGAUCAGACAAAUCGCCUUACAUAGACGUAUUAAAAUCAUUAAGUGGAUGUAAUAUCUUGUAUAGCCAUGUUAGUUGUUUCAAAGAUAAAAGGGAAGGGAAUGAACGCUUUAUGUGCAAAAGCCUUGAAAAUAUAUUGUGAAUUCAGACAUUGCUGUGUGCAUUCAAUAUUGGAAUUGUUGCUAAAGAAUUAAAUUGUAAAGUCAGUUAAUGAAAUAAGGAAAUGUUGCAUACAAAUAAUCAUGAUCAGAAUUUAAAAUGUAAGUUCCAAACUAAUCCUAUCAUAUUUGGUUACAAAACAUUCUUUAGUAGUACAGGAUGAAACCUUUUUUUUACACCAGAGUACAGAUGUACUUCAUCAUUGUAAGUCAUAAAUAAUUUCUCAGGGUAUUGACCUCCAUUAAUAUACAAAAUGUAUACAUUCUCAGCUCAAAGGAAAUCCAAAUUGUUUACACAAUGUGAGGAGAAGCAUUGUUUUAAUUGAAGCAGAUUGGUCAUAUAUAUCAUUGUCAGAUAUAUUGUGGGGGUUGCUGUCAGUUGCACAUUAUUCAUAAUUUGUGGAAUCAAAAACGUUUUUUGUUCAGUAGGGGAUCCAGAAGGGAGGUUCCAAGGGUUUGACCUCCCCCCCCCCUUUUGUGGUCGAUCAAUGCAUUUGAAUGAGGACAUAUGGUUGGGAACCCCCGUUUUGAAUAUGACAGGUCCCGCGCCUGUUCAAUAAGCAGUACAAUGAUGUUAUUAGAAUUAUUUGGCCAUAAAUUUCUGUAUUUGGGGAUAAUAAGCCUACUGAACUGAUUUCUUGUAGACUAAUAUAAAAAUUCAGAGAUGGAAAAUGAUUGCAAGAGACAACCAUCGAACAGAGACCUAAUGGCCUAGAUUUAAGCAACUUUAGGUCACUAGUCUUCAACAAUGAGAAACAGUAAUUACUCGAUGCAGAAUUAAGUGCAUUUGAAAGUUUAUAUAUAUAUAUAUAUAUUUACUACAACAAUUCAAAAUGCAUGUUUCCCAUUUUAUGUAAAAGUCUGUUUUAGAUGUAUUAAAUAAACUACUUCAAUUGUGUUUUAUACUUUUUUGUAAAUAAAGCACUAUGUUACAUUAAAUACUAUUGAUUUUUAUAUGUGAUAUUUCAUUCAUGAUAAUGUGUGAAUGAAAUACUUAAUGAAUAUUAAUAGUUGUAUCGUGACUCACCUACUAAUUUAUUAAUGACCAGUAAUAAUGAUGAUGCAGUUAAGAGUAAUUAUUUCAUUUUUUUUUUUUUUACAUGUAUCACUUGAAAGUGUCAAGUGAAGUGAAUACUUGCUGUUAUUCAUUGUUAAUGGAAUGUUUCACCAUCCUUUUCAAAAUACAAGAAAUAUACAAUUUCCAUAGAGGCAAAUUAAAAAAUUGCAUUGAGUGGUUUCUUUCUGAGUUAAUGUAUUGGUUUCAGUAAUUCUAAAAUAUUAAAUUAAAAAUCAUAUUUUUAACCAAUGAUAACUGAACACAUUAUUUAUGCAUUUGUAAAAUUGAAAUCAAUAUGGAAUCAACUGCUUGUCUUAUUUGUUACUUUUUAUUCUGUUCAUGGAAAUUUUGGUUUCUUAUGAAAAAAUUGCUACUUUAUCUAGCUUAAUACAAGUGGAAAUAUAAAAUGCGGAAAAAGAUUCUUAAAUAAUGAGGACAAUAAAUUUUUUCAAUUUUUGACCCUUUUUCCAACAUAUUUAUAUGGUACAUGUACUGUAAUAUUCCUAAACUAAAAGACAGAACAUUAAGGAUAAUAAGAUUGACAGAAAAUAGUGUGAGUUAAGGCAUGACUGUUAAUUAAUUUAUGAGUGCAAUUUUAAAACAAUAUGAAUUAUUAGACAUAUUAUGAGUCUUACUAAAAAAAAUGUAAAGGAUCAUCUCAAAUUUUCAGCAAGUUUUUCUAUAAUUCCUUUGACCUUUGUCCAUGUCAGUUAAUUUGUCUUAAUGUAAUAUAAACUGGAUUCACUAGGUAUAAUGAUAAUAGCUAGGUGCAAGUACACUUAAUGAAUUAAUCUGGAUUGAUUGGAGGGAGAAUGUUUAUACUACUGUAGCUUGGCACUAAUUUUUCCUGUAUGUCCCCAGGGGACAAAUAAAUGUGAGGCGACUAGAAGGGAAAUUAUUUUGUUUCCUGUAUAAAUAUGAUAUAUAAUGUAAAGCUGUACAUAUUAUCUUCUCUGAGACAAUUAUAUUACUUAAAAGCAUGAUUCAUAAAUAUGUAUUAAAACUGUCUGUUCCAAUAAAAAAUAAAUUUAUUCAUCAUUGUGUUGUAUGAAUAUAAAGUCAUUUGUCUCCUAUGGCAGAUCUCAUCAUAUAAACUACUUUAUAAAAUUUUCUGUUUAACUUUUAGCAUUGGAAGUCAUUCAUACGAACUGUGUAAAUUUUGUUUUUAAAGAUAUCAGGGCUUUUGAAAAAGCAACAUUUUUCUAUUAAAGACAUAAAGUUCUUAAGAAAUUGCCAUUUUAUUGUAAAUUGAUUGGCUUAUUAAAUAGCUGACUUUUCUAAAGAAUGCACAGAUAUUGUGAUAGAAAAUUUUAUACAAAUCACUUUGUGUCUUUGAAAAGGAAACAUCCAUACAAACAAAAAUAUACAUUUGAAAAAGUCAUAUAAAUUCUUGACAAAUUACUUGCCAUACAUAUAUAAAAUGAUCUUGGCUAAUUUAUGCUGACAUUUAUAUGUACUUCUAGGUUUUAAUAUUCCAUUGAGAAAAGUUUGUAAUUGAAUAUUUUAACACAGUAGAUAAAGGAUUUUAGUUUAUAGAAUUUGUUUCCCACCAAACUUGGUUUGUUCAAUGAAUGCAUAAAACUCAUGAUGUUAAAUUUAAUAGUUACAUGGGAAAAAAAUAACUAAAUGUGUAGCAAUAAACAUGCUUAACUGUAUGAUAAAUUAUAAUACAUGGUGGUAGUGAGUCGCAUAUCACAUAAGAACAUUUGCUUCUUCCCAAAGGGUUUUCAGGGGGGGGGGGGGGGAUGAUAGAAUUUAGCUAGCUGACCGCUCUUGUCAUCUAAAAGCAAAAUGAAAUAAUAUUUAAUUUAGUAUGGACUAAAGUACUUAAUUUAAGAUACCAAAUAACUUGGUAAGACAUGCAUUGAAUAAAAACAGUACUGAUGUACUUUAACUGAAUUCUGAGUCCUUAUAAAAUAUAAAAAUGAGUUAGAACUAGAUUAAACAAGUUUGGUACCUAAGAAAGUGAACCCCCCUUUAAGUACCCUUGCCACUGUAUCUAAUAAAAUAUUGGUCAAGUGUUUACAUAUCAUUGUUAAGAUAUAGGUCAUGAAAGCUAUCAGUGAUCAUAGGACUAUAGAGAAACAUUGAACAUCAUUUUUACAUCACAAAUCAAUACAUAAUCCUUUUAUUCUAUCAUCAGUAUUGACUUACUGCUUUUUAUGGAAAAUUGACCAAAAAAAGGAUGAGUUUUCCCUGAUGACACAAUUUUUUGUGUGAGGCAAAUAUUUUAGUGUAACCUGAUCCCUGUUUCAUUAUAGUGAACUGGAACCAGAGAUUGACACCAAUGGACUCUAAGCUUGAUUGGUCUGAAGGAAGAAUUAAGGUGAAGGAAAAUGAACUUGACUUGGUAUCAGCCACCAUAAUCAAGUGUUUCCUGUGUUUGAGAAGGGGUGUUACAGAAUGGCUGUCCAAGGUAUGGAAAAAUUUUAAUCUACAAUUGUGUGUUAAUGUCUCACUCAGACAGAUGUAUGAUAGGAGGGGGCAGGUGUUAGACAAGCCUCCAAACAAUAGGGAGAGUUAUACAUAUAAUUCUAGCAUCAUCAGGACUCACUUGACUUUUAUUCUCAGGUAAAAUAUACACUGUUAUGUAUAUGUAAAAUAUGUAUACUGUUCUGAGUCAAAUAUCUUUUUGAAUUAAGAGGAGUUUUUAGGCAAAUUUUUGUUGUUAUAUUUGUUUGCCUUCUUGGGUUUGGGUUAACAAUAUUAAUCUGACAUUUAGAUUUUGUGUUGAGUGAUUUUCAAACAUAAACCUUGUUUGCCUAAAUUGUAUUUUGCCUAUUUUCUUUUUUUUUAAUAAAUGAUAAAUUGAAAAAAAAUUAUCAGAAAUAUGACAGAUCAAAUUUUGUAGUUGAUGACUGAUGCAGCUUAUAAUUGCUGUUUGUAUUAACAUAUUCUUAUAUUUAGUCUUUGUAUGGAAGUAAAGUUUGAUCCAAGAAAGUUCAUAAUCUUACUAAAACUCAGUUUGUAGGUUAAAUAAAUUCAUAAUCACAUGACUGAAUUGACCUUGACUUUAACAAUUGUCAUACCUAAAACCCUUACUUCAACUUUGUCUGAGAAAUCUCUGAAAAGGCAAAUUAUGCAGCCAUAAAUUAAAUUUUUUGUUUUGAAAAAAAAUAAAAUCGUAAAAUCAUAAAAAUCUGGUUGUGACAAUUCUCAACUGCAAUUGCAUUUGUUCAAGUAGUAUUUAAAUUGUGGUGACAGUUUUAAGGACAUCUAAAUAUAGUAUAUUAUAAUAUGAUAAACAGGAUGGGUUUUUGUGAAUGAUAGCCGAUUUCAUUGAUAAGUGAUUUCCUUCCUAUAAACUCCUACAAUUAUGUAUUACUCAUGAUUAUAAUGAUCAGUAAUUGACCUUCCAUAAAUUUCUCAUAUAAUUUGCUUUAUUCAUACAUGUUAACAUUGUAUGUGAAUGUCAACGAGUCUUAGUCUAUUUUAUCUUGUUAAUUAUAGAUUUAUUACUUUUUCAUAUUUAUAGUCUUUUAACCUUUAGGUUGUCAUACUUUCCUAAACAUUUGACAGUUCAAAUCCCCUUGUAAACUGUUGAACAUAACAUACAGUAUCACAGGAACUAUAGAACUGAUAUCUACUUAAGAGUUACUUCUCUUACUAUUUAAAUGCAUGGUCACUAUUCAUAUUAUCUUGUAGGAAUUAAUUAAAAUAAAUAAAUGAAUGUGAAAGUAAGAUUUAAUGAUGGCUGGAGGGUGCAUAUUUACAUGAGCAUAAAACACUGCAAACAUUAAAUUGUAAAAUGAAAAUUGAAAAAUUGAAAAUAACUAGUUGUGCAGUAAUUUAACAUCAUUAGAUUUUAAAAAAACCCUUUCAAAAAACAAGUGUUUAUGAGAAUUAAAAUUAUUAACUGUAUUCUCAAUUAAAUUUCAGAAUUUUAAAGACAAGUAAAUAUAUUUGAUUUUAAGUUGCAAGGAAUCGUCAGGAAGGGAGAUAACUCACAAAAGGAUAACACAUAUUGUAUGUAUCUGAUUACAUUGAUAAAAAAAACCAAACGUAAUAAUGACCUAUAUUUAAUGAAACAUUAUCAUUUUGAAAAAAAGAAGAAACCUGAAGGAGA
rnacentral:lncRNA from 1 species